AUAAUACUCCAUAGAUUAGAGAUACUGGAAUGUUCUUUAGUCAAAAGUUCUGGCGCCUUAGGAUGGAUCUGCGGUCGAUUAGGUUGUUGUUGGGGUAACGGCCCAACAAGCCUGUAAUCGAUACGGGUUGUGGGAGCAAUAGCCCGGAGAUGGAAUCUGAGACAAGAUUCCAGGCCCUACGGGGCGCAGCAGGCGCGAAAACUUUACAAUGCAGGAAACUGUGAUAAGGGAACCCCGAGUGCCCGUAUACGCGGGCUGUCCAGGUGUUUAAAAAUCAUCUGAAGAAAGGGCCGGGCAAGACCGGUGCCAGCCGCCGCGGUAAUACCGGCGGCUCGAGUGGUGGCCACUAUUAUUGGGCUUAAAGCGUCCGUAGCUGGACUGAUAAGUCUCUUGGGAAAUCCGCCGGCUCAACCGGCGGGCGUCUAAGGGAUACUGUUGGUUAGGGACCGGGAGAGGUGAGAGGUACUCCGGGGGUAGGAGUGAAAUCCUGUAAUCCCCGGGGGACCACCGAUGGCGAAGGCAUCUCACCAGAACGGCUCCGACAGUGAGGGACGAAAGCUGGGGGAGCAAACCGGAUUAGAUACCCGGGUAGUCCCGGCCGUAAACUAUGCGCGUUAGGUGU
rnacentral:rRNA from 1 species